GCCAGUGUGGUAUAAUGGUUUUAACAUUGGACUAUGACUCUGGAGACCAGGGUUCAAAUCCCUGAUCAGACA